CAAUCCACUAUAGUCAUGCUAAUACUGCUAUAAUCAGGGAUCCCGAUUCACACUCCUCACCAGCUGGUGGCGGUAGUGCGCCAUGACGUUGUUUGCCAACCGCCAAUAGCACUCGAAGAAGAAGCGGAAGUAGAAGAAGCGGAGAUGUUUGCAGUUACCCGGAAGACAAGUGACAGAUAAAUAUUUCACAAAAGAACGUGCGCAGAGGCCCGUGUUGUCCCAAACUGUUUCGUUUGUCGGAAGAGAGGAAACGUGAAUGUCACAACCAUGGCUUCAGACACGGACGGAGAGGGCGACAUGUUCUGGACUGAGGAGGGGAUGCAGACUGGUGGACAUGGUUUGGAAACCAAAGAUUAAGUUACACAGGACAGAGCUCCCACAGCAAGUUGUUUGUAAGGAGGAGGAGGUUCUCUCUGAGCAGCAGCUCUGUGACCAGCAGAGGAACUCCAGUCUGGUCCAAGAGGAGCCAGAGCAACCAAGUGCUGCUGCUGAAGAAAAAACAAGAGUCACUGAGAAUAUUAUCAUCGAGUUCAAUGAAGACAUUGAUCAUCAGCGCAGACUGGUGGAUAUGGUUUGGAAACCUGGGAUAAAGAUGCACAGGACAGGUGAGUACAAGCACAAUGGUCCGUAUAAGACACAAGGGAAACUGAAUUCACAAUCAGUGUUUCUCUGUGAAGAACCAUGUGUUUCGCCUCAUACGUUGACUUUCAUCCAAUCUCUCAAAUUUAAAUUUUUCUGCUAAUGCCUCAACAUGGAUGGAGUCAUGCCUAAAUGCCUAAACUACGGUCUGCUAACUCCGACAGAGUAACUCCUCCAUCUGGCGCCCCGCUGCCCCCUCUUCUUCUUCUUCUUCUUCUUCUCGCAGCUCCCUCUCUCGGGUCUCCCUGCGGUCACAAUAUCCGCACCCAUCGGCAGCGCAGGAGCGCCACGAGAGAGCAUCUGCUUUGGUGUGGCUCGUCCCCGGUCGAUGUUCGACAGUGAAGUUGAAAGACUGUAGUUUCUCUAUCCACCGGGCCACCUGCCCUUCAGGCUCCUUGAACGUCAUGAGCCAGCGAAGAGCAGCGAGGUCUGUCCUUACCAAAAAGUUGGGGCCACAAAAGUAAUAUUUAAAAGGCUGAUGGAUAGAACCACUGCCAAGAUCUCACUCCGGGUGACGCAGUAGUGCUUUUCAGCCUUACUUAAGGUGCAGCUGUAGUAUGCCACCGCGCGUUCCCCCUCUGGCCCCAGCUGAGAGAGCACACCUCCCAACACUUACCCACUAGCAUCGGUAUCCAGGAUAAAAGGCAAGGAGUGGGUCCGCGGGGCUAGGACCGCCGCACUGUACAAGGCCCGCUGCAGGCUGGUGAAGGCCUCCUGGCACAGGUCAGUCCACUCAAAGUCUCUGUCUUUUGGCAGCAAUUGGAACAGGGGGGCUGCGAUACAGGAGAAACCGUGGACAAACCUCCUGUAGUAUGAGGCCAGGCCCAGGAAGCUCUUCAGCUGUUUCGUGUUGAUGGGGGUAGGCCAGCUAGUCACUGCCUGCACCUUCUUCUCCAGCGUGCUGCCAUAGCCCCCCGCCCGGUACAGAAGGUUGUAUUGGGUUUUGCCUCCAGGGCCAGAGGCCCCUCGACUUUGUCCAGGGACUCAUCUAUGCAGGGAAGGGGGUAGGAGUCUUUCUUGGUUCACCGGUCACCAUUCACCGGUCAAUAGUCCGGGCAGAGUCGCCAGCCGCCGUCUUUUUGGGGACCAUUACUAGGGCUGAGGCCCAGGGGCUGUCUGACGGCUCGAUGAUGCCUGCUUGCAGCAGGUUUAGGACAGCCUCCCCACAGGCUUCCCGACGAGCCAAAGGCAGGCAGCGUGGGCGGCACUUGAUGGGACGCACUUCCCCCGUAUCCAUCUUAUGCUGUACCUGAGGCGUCAAUCCCACCUUCUCAUCCUUGAGGGCAAAGCUGUCUUUAAACUCGUACAACAGCUGCCACGGCUUCUCCUGUUGUUGGGGGGGACAAGCCACCGGAGUUUGUCCUCCUUAUCGCUCAGCCACUGCACCACACACCCUCUCUCUCCACCGCCAUUUCCAGGGCUGCCUGUAGAGUGGGUGGAUGAACUUGUACCUGUAGCUCUGUAGGGAAGAGGGCCCAGAUGAAUUGGUCCCUUGCCAGCUCACUUUGCACUUCCGGAGGCAUAUGUGCAUAUGUUCACAGUGUCAUGCUCUGGCAUUGGCGAGCCCCCUCAGUGACUCUCCUCCUGCAACGGUUACUCAGCUCAUUCCGGAGGAGCCCAGGCUGCCGACACAGUCCGAACCGCCUCUGCAGAGCCCCCACCAGAGCUUCACAAUGAUGCCUAUCCUCCGGAACUAGUAGUAGAAGGCAGGAUAGAGCAUCUUCAGUGAGGCACAAUGCCAGCUGUAGGUCUUUAGUCUCUUUUAGUCGACCACCCUUCUGCCCUGGACAAAAGUUGGAAUUGUGCCCGGAACGCCUCCCAGUCCGACCUGCCUGAGUAUUUCGGUGUUUUCACUGACACGGCCACAGCGGGGCGAUGGUUCUGUUAAUGUUAUUUAGUUGUAUUGUACUGUGUUUCCAUUUCUUCCUGGCCACACACCUCAGAUUCUAUAUGUCAAUCACUCAAUAAAUUUGAGCUCUCUCUCAACUGACCCUCAGUUUUGAUUGUCAUUCAACAAAUAAAUAUCAGAGCUGCUGUGCAAUUCUCGCAGGGCGCUAAAAAGGGUUUAA
ensembl:lncRNA